UUGAACUGGGGAAAAUUCGAGUGGUGCCGUCUAGCGACCGUCUCUUGAAACUAAUCCACAUUUUGCAGCGCCGCGUAGAUAGGUUUCGAGUAUUACUGAGAAGUCACACGUCGAGUGUCAUACUGAAGACGGCAUGUUAACGCAUCAUACUCAGCGGGAUUACAUACACCAAGAACCCUUUCAUGAUGCUCUCUCACGAGAGGUGGGAAAAGUGCACUUUUAAACCUUAUAGAAACGGAUUUGACUAGAUUUGACCUGUACCUGGGCGAGGUGUAACAGCGACGUGCCGGUAUUAUUUGUGGGCAAAGACCGCGAAGGCAGAACCAAGCGCCGUUUGGAAGUCGGAUCAUUUGCAUGUCUACGGUUUCAUCCAAGGUUCUUUCUCGAGUUCCAAUAACCGACCCUGAUCCGGCCCCGCACCGCCCAACGCAUCUCGGAACCACAUCGGCACUAUCACUUAGACCGAAAUUCCACGUAGUCCUUUCGGAGCUGAUAUCCCCUUUAGGGGGUUUUGCUCUAGGCUACUUCUGCCGGCGAAAGAAUCGUUAAUUAUAAUGAUCGGAGCUCCCACGGGGAAUGUCGUCGCCAGCAUAGAAACAUCAAGGCCCGAGGACAUUUCCCGGGGAGGAGGAGGAUCCUCUUGGAACGGAAUUCCGAGAGGAUCCUCCGUACCGCAGACUUUAGGAAUGCACUAGAUGGACC